rnacentral:rRNA from 1 species
GAUCAUGGCUCAGGAUGAACGCUAGCUACAGGCUUAACACAUGCAAGUCGAGGGGCAUGAGUUUGGUUUGCUUGCAAACCAAAGCUGGCGACCGGCGCACGGGUGAGUAACACGUAUCCGACCUGCCUCAUACUCGGGGAUAGCCUUUCGAAAGAAAGAUUAAUAUCCGAUAGCAUAUAUUUCCCGCAUGGGUUUUAUAUUAAAGAAAUUCGGUAUGAGAUGGGGAUGCGUUCCAUUAGUUUG